rnacentral:tRNA from 1 species
GGUCUUGUAAAACCUAACCACGCUACCCUGAUAAGGGCGAGGUCGGUGGUUCAAGUCCACCCAGGCCCACCA